UACCAGCACCCCGAGUGGUCGGGACGUUUAUUGGGCCUAAAGCAUCCGUAGCCGGUUCUACAAGUCUUCCGUUAAAUCCACCUGCUUAACAGAUGGGCUGCGGAAGAUACUAUGGAGCUAGGAGGCGGGAGAGGCAAGCGGUACUCGAUGGGUAGGGGUAAAAUCCGUUGAUCCAUUGAAGACCACCAGUGGCGAAGGCGGCUUGCCAGAACGCGCUCGACGGUGAGGGAUGAAAGCUGGGGAGCAAACCGGG
rnacentral:rRNA from 1 species